UGAGGAAUAUUGAGCAAUGGGCGCAAGCCUGACUCAGCAACGCCGCGUGGAUGAAGAAGGCCUUCGGGUUGUAAAAUCCUUUUCUGGGGGAAGAUGAUGACGGUACCCCAGGAAUAAGUUCCGGCUAACUACGUGCCAGCAGCCGCGGUAAAACGUAGGGGACGAGCGUUAUCCGGAUUUACUGGGCGUAAAGCGCAUGUAGGUGGCUUGCCAAGUUGGACGUGAAAGCUCCCGGCUUAACUGGGAGAGGUCGUUCAAAACUGGCAAGCUUGAGGUUGGAAGAGGAGAGCGGAAUUCCCGGUGUAGUGGUGGAAUGCGUAGAUAUCGGGAGGAACACCAGUGGCGAAAGCGGCUCUCUGGUUCAAUACUGACACUGAGAUGCGAAAGACGUGGGGAGCGAACGGGAUUAGAUACCCGGUAGUCCACGCUGUAAACGAGUGGAUACUAGGUGUAGGGGGUCGAUUAA
rnacentral:rRNA from 1 species